rnacentral:lncRNA from 10 species
AGACUUUGUGAGCCUGUGUCUUGCCUGGGCAUGCACAUGGCUUUCUAAAUUCUCUCGUAACAGCUGCUUUUGAGUGUCCUAAUUUCCCAAAGAGUCUUACUCCAGCUUCUCAUCUGGGCCUUAGAUGGUCUACUCUAUGGCUCCACUCAAAAUCUCUUGCCCAGGCCAUGAGCCUAUAGUGAUCUUGCAGCUUUUAUUAACAGUGUCCACUUAUUUUUCCAGCUGUGUUCUGAGUUAGGUAACACAGAUUAUUUACAAGGAGGAAAUUGGAACAAGGCUGGCUGCUGUGUUUCAAGACAAAGACUGCUGCCACACCGGGGAGAGGAUGGGGCCAGGGCUGCUGUGUAUCCUGGGACCAUCUGCAAGGACACUCUACUGCAGGUGCCUGAUCAGACUUCAAACUGAUAUUUUUGUUGAGAAGUUGAAAGAGGGAGAUUGUAAACGGGCCCAAAGUCCUUCUGGAGAAAAACUACUGUGAGGGAAAAUUUUAGCAGGAGGAAAGAUUUUGUCAGGCUGAAUUGAUCCAGUUGUGUUUCCAGGGCAUCCAAGCCUCUCCCUGCGGCCCUGGCCCGCCUCCUCCCCAUGCACCAGGCUCUGGCUCCCGGGUACUCCUCCUGCCAUGGGGCCCACGCAGCAGCUACAAUGCAUGCUUUGUUCAG